rnacentral:rRNA from 1 species
CAAAAACAUGGCCUCUUGCAAGUCUAGAAUAAGAGGUCUAGCCUGCCCAGUGACUAAAAGUUAAACGGCCGCGGUAUUUUAACCGUGCUAAGGUAGCGUAAUCACUUGUCUUUUAAAUGAAGACCCGUAUGAAAGGCGUCACGAGGGCUCUACUGUCUCCUUCUUCAGGUCAGUGAAAUCGAUCUGUUCGUGCAGAAGCGAGCAUGCUCCCAUAAGACGAGAAGACCCUGUGGAGCUUAAGACACAAGACCACCUGCGCCUAAAAACCUGUCCCACCAAAAGGCCACAAAGCACAGCAAUCCUGGUUUAAAUGUCUUCGGUUGGGGCGACCAUGGGGGAUAAAAAAGCCUCCAAGAAGAAACAGGGAGCCGAUUAAACCGCCUCCUAAGAGCCAAGAGUCACAACUCUAAGCAACAGAAAACUCUGACUAAUAAUGACCCGGAAUACUUCCGACCAGCGAACCAAGUUACCCCAGGGAUAACAGCGCAAUCCUUUCCAAGAGCCCCUAUCGCCGAAAGGGUUUACGACCUCGAUGUUGGAUCAGGACAUCCUAAUGGCGAAAAUUCUAUUAAGGGUUCGUUUGUUCAACGAUUAAAGUCCUACGUGA